UCGAGGAUCUUCGGCAAUGGGCGCAAGCCUGACCGAGCGACGCCGCGUGUGGGAUGAAGGCCUUCGGGUUGUAAACCACUGUUGGAGGGGAGGAAAUGCCAGGGGGUUCUCCCCUUGGUUUGACCUAUCCUCUGAGGAAGGACGGGCUAAGUUCGUGCCAGCAGCCGCGGUAAGACGAACCGUCCAAACGUUAUUCGGAAUCACUGGGCUUAAAGGGUGCGUAGGCGGCCCGGGAAGUUGGGUGUGAAAGCCCUCGGCUCAACCGAGGAAUUGCGCCCAAAACUGCCGGGCUCGAGGGAGACAGAGGUGAGCGGAACUAAGGGUGGAGCGGUGAAAUGCGUUGAUAUCCUUAGGAACACCAGGAGCGAAAGCGGCUCACUGGGUCUCUUCUGACGCUGAGGCACGAAAGCUAGGGGAGCGAACG
rnacentral:rRNA from 1 species